AUUGAACGCUGGCGGCAUGCCUUACACAUGCAAGUCGAACGGCAGCGCGGGAGCAAUCCUGGCGGCGAGUGGCGAACGGGUGAGUAAUAUAUCGGAACGUGCCCAGUAGUGGGGGAUAGCCCGGCGAAAGCCGGAUUAAUACCGCAUGAGACCUGAGGGUGAAAGCGGGGGAUCGCAAGACCUCGCGCUAUUGGAGCGGCCGAUAUCAGAUUAGCUAGUUGGUGGGGUAAAGGCCUACCAAGGCAACGAUCUGUAGUUGGUCUGAGAGGACGACCAGCCACACUGGGACUGAGACACGGCCCAGACUCCUACGGGAGGCAGCAGUGGGGAAUUUUGGACAAUGGGCGCAAGCCUGAUCCAGCAAUGCCGCGUGCAGGAAGAAGGCCUCGGU
rnacentral:rRNA from 1 species